AAGGAGGAACACCAGAAUUAUUAAAUCAGUGGGUAAACAUAAAACACUCUUAUUUUUCCUCUCCUAAUUUCCUUCAAAGCAAACUAAUGCAUAGUAAUACUGUAAGGUGAGAUUUACAAUUUAUGUAGAAGUAAAGGAGAUGACAAAACAGAGGAAAGCUUGGGAGAGAGGUAAGUGGGGUUACACCAUUGUGAUGUGAGGAGUAGGAAGCGUCAGGUUUGAACUAGAAAGUGGCAAGUGUGUAAAAGAAAGUGGGACGUGAGAAGCAGUAGAAUGUUGACUCCAACCCCUGGGAGCUACAGGGUCACCUAAUAAACACGGAAGCUGUGACUCCUCUCCAACACAUCUGGAUUUUCCUAAUGAUUCCUAAGAAGACUGGAGGCCCGAACAGACAUCUCAUGGCUAGAUUCCAUGGAGUCUGAACUUUUGAGCGGAAAUCUCUACCACUCCUGUUCAAGUCACACAUCCAGAUGACGGCUGGCUCAGCUGAAGCAGGUGUCCAGGCCUGAUUCCAACUUUCGGUUCACCACAAUCUUCAAUUUACCAGAACCUCCUUUUCACCAGCUGAGAUAAGUGUGGGGAAAACAGGCCUGCAACAGAAAAUGAGCAGAGAAUGCAGCAGUGCCAAGAGUCAGCACGAUGAAAAGGGACAAAGAGGAUCUUAAUCAAUUCUUAGAAGCUAAGCCAUUUAGCUGGGCCAUGUAAGCUAAAAGGAAUAACGUUAUCAUGGGAACUCCUCCAGCAGCUGCUGCUCUGAGGCUCUACUGUCCUGCCCAGGAAUGUCCCCGGUUACAUCAUGUUAACUGAAACAGCGUUGCGGACAGCAGUCCUGCUAAACGUGCUCAGUCUGGUCCCACCUUGGCCAGAGAUGAGGCUCCUGCCUUCGUGCCAGCAUCACCCCUCAGUGAGUCCAGACAUCUGAUGUACAGCAUGAUGAUUAUAGUUGAUAAUACUGUACUGAAUACUGGAAAUUUGCUAAGAGAGUAGAUUUCAGGUGCUCUCAUGACAAAAAAAAGUGGUAACUAUGGGAUGAGAUGACAAGUUACUUAACUUCACUUAGUAAUCAUUUCACUGUGUAUAUGCAUAUCUAAUCAUCAUGGUGUACACCUUAAAUAUAUACAAUUUUUGUUUUUUAACUAAAUUUAGUUUUUUAUAAAGAGGUUUAAGUCCUCGGCCUCCCAUCUGUGGGCACAUGCAAGGGCACUGGUGAUGUUCAUAAAUGAGAGGCAGAUGGGGCAUUGGACAGAGUCUCACUGCGCAGACGAUCAUGGCUCCAAAUGGAGCCUGCACUGGGCAUCAGGCUGACAGCUGACAGUGGGCGGUCUUUCCGGGUACCAGUGAGAUGACCUCAGGCUGCUUGGCUGCCAACCAGCAACCUGGAACAGGCCGCCUUGCUCGGGUGUUUUUUCAGUCUCACUUCUUUCCACUUGGUCCCAUAGCCCCCUCUUCUCUCUAGCCCGUAGCAUCCAUGUCAGAUGUCUUCCAUUCACCCCUUCAGAUCCACUCUCCAUCCUCUUCCUGGCUCUGUGUUCCAGAAGUUUGACACAUGUGGACUACAUCAACGAGCUCCCUUGCCCUCCAGUUUCCAGUUGAAGUCAGCCCAUGGGAAGCACUAGCAGGAGAGAAGAGAAUUCCCUGGUGACUGACCUGUGCAGGCCUUCAAACGAGCUGCAGGAAUUCGAAGUUGAAUGAUGCUCUGGAACAAUAAAGCUUCCCUUCGUCCAGGAAGAUGAGCCCAUUGAUCCCGGAGUGCUCUGACAUACCACGCUGGACUUCUACGAGCUGAAAAGAUGAAAGACGUUCUCUUCUGUAGUGCAGAAUCAACCCACUUGGCUUUGCCACCACCCGACAGUGAAACGUCGCUAAACACAUGAAAAAACUUCCCAUACCCAGGAGAGCCGGGCCUUGACCCUGAAUCUCCAGGCUCUGAGAAAUCAGAGACAUGGUCCAUUCCAACGUCUGAGACCCCGAGAGAGAAAGCCCAAGGUCGAAGUGAGUUACUGCCACAUCCUGGGACCUGCAACUACCACAAACUCCUCAAGGCAGGAACAGAAACAAAAGCAUUCUUCAAGCCCAGAGUCUGCAGAGUCCCUGGCAAGAAAUAUUUGUUAAGUGGAUAAAUGAAUGAAUGAGAAAAAAAUAAAGGAGCUAAAGAUAAUAGUGGAUUAAAGUCACAGUAACUGUUUCCAAGAAGUUAGACUCCAAGAACCAGAAUCAAGGAUGCAGGCUCCAGGAUGGCCAAGGGGAGCGACAACCCCCGGCCUUCCAUAAAGCAGCAGUCUGCCCCCAGAAACAAGCGCAGCAUUGCCUGGAGCAGGAGAAGGGCGGCAAGGCUCCCAGCAAGCGGCCAGUCCAGCAGCUGCAGAGAAAGAGACAUUUUUGGAGUCAGAGACAAGUUGCAGGGUUUGUCCAUAGCCCUUUAAUUUUCUAUUACCCCGUGAUUCUUUCCACUUCGGUGACACUCCCAGAUGCUACGAACUGAGCUUUUGGAUCUCCCCAAGGAAUUCAGCAGUGUCAGAUCCUUAGACACAAGACACUCAAUCGUCGGAGGAAUUACUAAAGGGCUCUCCCACCACUGGUUCCAGGGAGGGCUUCCCACUGACAGCCAAAAUAAAAAAAGAAAAAAGGUGCUAAAACUCAGCUCACUUGCAUUUACACCUUGUAAACCUCAUUUGCAUGUGUCACAGCUAGGUUCCAGUGUGUGGAGCUGCAGAGACAGCCACCAAACGUUGCAUCCUGCCAACCCCUGGGCCUG
rnacentral:lncRNA from 1 species